CCUCUUGGCGACCCUAGAUCUUUCUUUCCUUCGUGGUCUUCGGUGAGGGAAGCGCUUCUUGGUGGUGUGACAUGGUCACACUUCAGACAUCAACCAGCGAGGGGUUCCCUUUAGCCUUGAGGUGUGUAAGAGAUCUGAGUGCAACAUGACUGCGAACAGAAGUGGCAGUGGCUUUGGUCACAUUCUAAUGACGUGAGGAGUUCUGCUACCAGCACGCGUGUCUCAAGGUCUGUGUGCUGGAGAUAUGGUGGUACCAUGGAGAUACCAGGGGUUGUAUGCAGAUACACAAUCACUGUUGGCACUGGUGGAAUCGUAAUUUUCUGCACAGUUGGUGGGACGAGUGAUGGUGUCAAUCUCAAGGGUGAGACUGCUGCAGAAUUUGGAAUGGUAUCAGUGAAGCGUGUGGUGCUAAUGAUCAAGAGGGGGAGUGAAGUGCCAAGAUGAGUGGUUAUUGAGGACUUGCUUCCUUUUGGACCUUGUUUUUGUUAAUGCGAGCCAGUGAUCAAUGUAAUUUUAAAUUGUUGUAACAUCUCUGAAAGUAGAGGAGCAAAAUGAAGUACUUAAAUACUACAAUGUAACCUGCCUAUAAUCCAUGUCAGAGAAUAUUUUCACCUACGACUAUGAAUACAAUUCCAUCAAUUGUUCCACACUGGUAUAUUACAUUUUGAUGUUUCAUAGAUGCUAUGUGAGCAUAAAUUCUCAGCUAAUAGAUUCUAUACUCCUGUGAUAUGCAGUACUUUCUACUAUGCCAUAUUGCCUCUUCUGAGUGAAGUAUAUUCUUAAUUAAAAAGGGUAGCUUUUACAGAACUGCUCUAGUAUUUUCUUUUCUACAUUUAUUUCCAUUGUCUAGGAAUCCUCAUUUCCCAAUAUGCGAAUAAACAAUUGUUUAAAGUUU